GCAUUGGUGGCUCAGUGGUAGAAUUCUUACCUUUCACUUGGGAGACCUGGGUUCUAUUCCCAGCCAGUGCA
rnacentral:tRNA from 1 species